CAGGUAACUGCUGUUGAUCAACUGUUGCUUCGGUCAAGUUAGAGAUUAAAGAAGACUGAAAUUAUGGGCUCGCAGCGAGGAUUGCUGUGUCCAACCUGCACAAGAAUGCCAAGAAGUCCUUCUCCGAGACGAUUAAGGACAUGUACCUGCACUACAAUGAGUGAUCUGGGCUGCUUCUUUGUGGCUUCCAAACUUGAAAUGUUUUUUGGAAGUUAGUUUAGUUUUUUGUUGUGGAUUCACAGCUCUCACAUGUACCAUUCUCUUAGACCUUUAGAUUUCCAAAGAAACUAUAUGAAGAUAUGGUGGUAUGGUCUCAAUAGUACAACUUAAAGCUUUCCAUGCUUUACAUUUUCUCUGAAAUAUGCUCUUGAAGAAUCAUGUAUCCAUGUUAGAUCUGGUGAGAAAAGACGGCUUCCAAGCAGAGGAUGCGGGAGUGUUGGCCACAUUUGGUUUU